CGGGGUGUAGCUCAGUUUGGCUAGAGCGCAUGCUUUGGGUGCAUGAAGUCGCUGGUUCGAGUCCAGUCACCCCGA
rnacentral:tRNA from 2 species